rnacentral:rRNA from 1 species
AUUGAACGCUGGCGGCAGGCCUAACACAUGCAAGUCGAGCGAGCGGCGGACGGGUGAGUAAUGCCUGGGAAUUGCCCAGUCGAGGGGGAUAACAGUUGGAAACGACUGCUCAUACCGCAUACGAUUGGAUUGCCCAGGUGUGAUUAGCGAGUUGGUGAGGUAAUGGCUCACCAAGGCGACGAUCCCUAGCUGGUCUGAGAGGAUGAUGAGCCAAACGGGAACGGGGACACGGUGCAGAAUCGUAGGGGAGGAAGAAGUGGGGAAUAUUGGACAAUGGGGGAAACCCUGAUGCAGCCAUGCCGCGUGUGUGAAGAAGGGCUUCGGGUUGUAAAGCACUUUCAGCGAGGAGGCGUUACUCGCAGAAGAAGCACCGGCUAACUCCGUGCCAGCCGCCGCGGUAAUUC